CACAGUUUUGUUUUAAAGUGGUCAUAAGACCACGUUUGUGUUUUGGUUCUCUGUAAUCUCAAUUCACUCUCUCCCGCUGCCUGCUUCUAUCUUCCUCUCUGUUUUAUUUUUUUUUCCUUUUUCCACUUCAAGGUUUCAAUCCUUGAUUAAUUCCUUAUUUCUUAGAAUUUUUAAGUGCCGUUUGCUACAAAACGGAGAGCACGGCGAACUCUAAACGUGUGUACCAGCAAUUUCAGUUUUGAGCAACUUUGGGAGUCCAAAAAUUGAAAUCCAUUUUGAGGGUUUGAGGUGAAAAUUGGGAGUUUUGCUUAAAAGUGAGGGAUACAAGAGUUGUGUCUUAGGCACUACCUACUGAGCAAUUUUGCUCACCCAUUUUAUUUAACAUUUUUUUUUUAUGAAACGGGAAAGAAGUGGCGGAUAACAUUCUACCACAGACUUAGUAUGGAUUAGGAGCUUAUUUUAUUGUUUUUGUACUUAUGUUGUAAAACAUGGACACUUGAUAUUAAUCUUGUAUUUUGGGAUUGUAAUUAUGAUAUCUGAAUGAUAUAGUAUGUGGUUGUACCACCAUGGAAUGUAUUAUAUGUUUAUUGUGUUGGGACGGAUUAAAAA